rnacentral:rRNA from 1 species
UACAGGGGGUGCAAACGUUGCUCGGAAUCAUUGGGCGUAAAGAGCUCGUAGGCGGUUUGUCACGUCGGAUGUGAAACCCUGAGGCUCAACCUCAGGCCUGCAUUCGAUACGGGCAGACUAGAAUUCGGCAGGGGAGACUGGAAUUCCUGGUGUAGCGGUGAAAUGCGCAGAUAUCAGGAGGAACACCGGUGGCGAAGGCGGGUCUCUGGGCCGCAACUGACACUCAUGGACGAAAGCUAGGGGAGCGAAUGGG